GGGCAAAGUUGACACUGCAAUUCCUUCAGAACGGUGUUCGCAAGUAUAAAGGUCAUCGCGGUGCAACUGGAUGUGUUUUCCUGCUAAUGCUGUUGUACCUUGAUUGUGUUUGUCUGAGCUCGACUACGACGCGGUCCACACCUCGGCUUCAUGAUUGGGGUGAUACCCAAAUACGGGAGACGCUGCGACGUAUCAGAAGGAAGCAAAAUUUCCCAACAAUUGCGGUGGAGUUUGAUUACAGUAACGCCGAUGAUGCUGACAUGGAUGCAUGCCAUGU